UACGUAGGUGGCAAGCGUUGUCCGGAUUUACUGGGCGUAAAGAGCGCGCAGGCGGUCGUUCAAGUCGCGUGUGAAAGCCCCCCGGCUCAACUGGGGAGGGUCACGCGAUACUGGUCGACUCGAAGGCAGGAGAGGGUAGUGGAAUUCCCGGUGUAGUGGUGAAAUGCGUAGAUAUCGGGAGGAACACCAGUGGCGAAGGCGACUACCUGGCCUGUUCUUGACGCUGAGGCGCGAAAGCUAGGGGAGCAAACGGGG
rnacentral:rRNA from 1 species